GAUGAACGCUGGCGGCGUGCCUAACACAUGCAAGUCGAACGGAGUCGUUUUGGAAAUCUCUUCGGAGAUUGAAUUCUCGACUUAGUGGCGGCCGGGUGAUUAACUCGUGAGCAAUCUGCCUUUAAGAGGGGGAUAACAAUCUGAUACGGCUGCUAAUACCGCAUCACGCAUUAAAUUAGCAUGUUUUUGAUGCCCAACGCGCAUUCCGCUUGUAGGUGGGUUGGGGUCUGAUUAGCUAGUGGGAGGGGUAACGGCCCACCAAGGCGACGGACCGUAGCCGGACGGAGAGGGAGAAGGGCCACACUGGGACGGAGAGACGGAGUAGACACCUACGGGAGACAGAAGUGAGGAAUACUGAGCAAUGGGGGAUACCCUGACGAGGCAAUGCGGCGGGAUAGAAGAAGGGUAUGGGGUUGUAAAGAUCGUUAAUGGAAGGCGAAACAAAUGACGGUACCUGAAGAAUAAGCGCCGGCUAACUACGUG
rnacentral:rRNA from 1 species